rnacentral:rRNA from 1 species
CUAAGCCAUGCGAGUCGUACGCCCGGGGACCGCCGGGCGUGGCGCACGGCUCAGUAACACGUGCCUAACCUACCCUCGGGAGGGGGAUAACCCCGGGAAACUGGGGCUAAUCCCCCAUAGGGGAAGGGUGCUGGAAGGCCCCUUCCCCGAAAGGGACCGCGGUCGAUCUACCGUGGUCCGCCCGAGGAUGGGGGCACGGCCCAUCAUGGUAGUUGGCGGGGUAAAGGCCCGCCAAGCCGAAGACGGGUGGGGGCCGUGAGAGCGGGAGCCCCGAGAUGGGCACUGAGACAAGGGCCCAGGCCCUACGGGGUGCAGCAGGCGCGAAAACUCCGCAAUGCGGGAAACCGUGACGGGGCCACCCCGAGUGCCGCCCGAAGAGGGCGGCUUUUGCCCGGUGCAAAAAGCCGGGCGAAUAAGCGGGGGGCAAGUCUGGUGUCAGCCGCCGCGGUAAUACCAGCCCCGCGAGUGGUCGGGGUGCUUACUGGGCCUAAAGCGCCCGUAGCCGGCCCGGUAAGUCGCCCCUGAAAUCCACGGGCUCAACCCGUGGGCUGGGGGCGAUACUACCGGGCUUGGGGGCGGGAGAGGC